CGGCUCAGGAUGAACGCCGGCGGCGCGCUUAACACAUGCAAGUCGAACGAACCUUCGGGUUAGUGGCGGACGGGUGAGUAACGCGUGAGAAUCUGCCCUCAGGAGGGGGACAACAGCUGGAAACGGCUGCUAAUACCCCAUAUGCCGCGAGGUGAAAUGAAUUUCGCCUGAGGAUGAGCUCGCGUCUGAUUAGCUAGUUGGUGUAGGUAACGGCUCACCAAGGCAUCGAUCAGUAGCUGGUCUGAGAGGAUGAUCAGCCACACUGGGACUGAGACACGGCCCAGACUCCUACGGGAGGCAGCAGUGAGGAAUAUUGGACAAUGGGCGGAAGCCUGAUCCAGCCAUGCCGCGUGCAGGAAGACUGCCCUAUGGGUUGUAAACUGCUUUUGUACAGGAAGAAACCUUUCCACGUGUGGAGAGCUGACGGUACUGUAAGAAUAAGCAUCGGCUAACUCCGUG
rnacentral:rRNA from 1 species